rnacentral:rRNA from 1 species
GAUGAACGCUGGCGGCGUGCCUAAUACAUGCAAGUCGAGCGAACAGACGAGGAGCUUGCUCCUCUGACGUUAGCGGCGGACGGGUGAGUAACACGUGGAUAACCUACCUAUAAGACUGGGAUAACUUCGGGAAACCGGAGCUAAUACCGGAUAAUAUAUUGAACCGCAUGGUUCAAUAGUGAAAGACGGUUUUGCUGUCACUUAUAGAUGGAUCCGCGCCGCAUUAGCUAGUUGGUAAGGUAACGGCUUACCAAGGCAACGAUGCGUAGCCGACCUGAGAGGGUGAUCGGCCACACUGGAACUGAGACACGGUCCAGACUCCUACGGGAGGCAGCAGUAGGGAAUCUUCCGCAAUGGGCGAAAGCCUGACGGAGCAACGCCGCGUGAGUGAUGAAGGUCUUCGGAUCGUAAAACUCUGCUAUUAGGGAAGAACAAAUGUGUAAGUAACUAUGCACGUCUUGACGGUACCUAAUCAGAAAGCCACGGCUAACUACGUG